rnacentral:rRNA from 1 species
UUAGAUUUUAUUUAUUAAUUUUAUAUCAUUUUUUAUUAAAAUAUUAAAAAUAAUUUUAUAAAAAAAAGUUUUAGUAUUGUUUAAAGAAAAAAUAAAUUUAAUUAUAGUUCAUUAGUAUUGUAAAAGAAAAUUGAAAUAAUUUGAAAAAUUAUUAUUUUAAAAGAAAAUU